GACAUGGCACAACUUACCGUAUUUCUCUUAUCCGAGUUUAUGAUUCUCUUCAGCUCUAACAGUGCCUUCCGAAAGGCCAAACUAACAUUCAUGAGACAGGCGAAAAAUCGCCAUUCCUCCACCUCAUUCCUCCGCCAUUUUGAAUUACACGUCAUUGACUAUGCGCUCUGUGAUUGUCGGCUGACGCAUCGCGGGCGCAGAAUGGACCGCAUUGCGUGUUCAGGUGUUUGUAGAAAGUCACGCAUUUGACAUAUCGUGAAUAUGCUCUAAGAAACCUGUCAUUAGGGUGAAGGACACGCAAUGUUCUGCACGAACAUGAAAAGAUAAUAAUGGUACUGCAAUUGAAAUAGCUUGUACGGGAACAAAGCAUUUCUUCCGAUGAUCACAACGUUUUUCUGUUGGCACGCGAACUGAGACCAAGCGAACAGAAAACGCUUUUUCCUCUGUUCAUGAUAAUUUGGUUAUCAAUAUGUGGCUUUAAAGCAGACAGACAGGUCGGUAAGUUGCUUUUCUAGCUUGUUGUUUUACGCAUUUUAAUCUGAGGCGGCCCACAUUAAAACGCUAUUUAUAAAUUCCGCCGUUUUCUUUUUAAGAUAUUUAAAGUUUCACUAUCUUUUCAAAGAAUCAAAAACUGAAUAAAACUUCAUCAGAUGAACCAAAGAGCACCCAAGUUGAGCGCACUUAAACGAAACAGAGAACUUAAAUUUUAUUGCUGUCAAAAACUUGGCAAGAGAUUCAAGCAGUUUACCUGUAGCGUUUACCGGCAGUAAAUUUUGGAAAUCUAUUUCUUUCUUUCUUUAGUUUUCUUUAGUUUUUUGUUUCAAGUUCCAGUAGUGUUAUCGACUUCGAAAUUUAAUUGCCAUUCAGCAGAAGACAUUAAUAUAUGACCCGAAUGACCCUCGCUGAACAGUCAACCCAACGCGCACAGAAAGUGCUAGUAGCUAGCGGAAAGUUAGCUGUUUGUUCAGGUGGGUAGAUCAUUUACGCGAGACAAAUAAUUAAGGCAAGUUCAAAACCCUUCUUGUUCAGUUAAAAGUUCCAUUUGCAAUAGUUUCCUUCUAGCGAAGUGAUACAAAUAUGAUGAAGCUCUUGGCAAAUUAUCCUGUAUCUCACGUGGAAACACCAUAAAUCUAUCGAUAUCAAGUAAAUAUUUUACAAAAUACCGGUUUCUUUGAAGUGCGAUCUGGAGGGAGUUUCAUUGGUUUUUUCGUGACCUCUUCCUGUGCUAUGAUUGGUCGAAACCGCUUGAAUAUCUGCCCCCUCUCAGCAAGCCACGACGAUAGCAUUUCGUUUUGGUAAAGUCACGAAACAAGAAAAUCAAAUUUUUGAAGUCAAAAAUUCGACACAGUCGGAAAUUCAUUUCACAAAGGCACUGUAGUUCACGAUUCAGGUUGCAUGAACGAGCGUAAAGAAAUUUUCCCCUCGUAUUCCUGUUGUUCGUGACACAAAAUUCAAACGACACUGGGUUAUUAAUACACAUAAAUUCGUAGUGUGAUUGGUUCGAUUGGCAUCUCUUUAACAUAACUCUCGCUUCUGGGAAGAUUAGGUUUUAUUUAGCUCACACCACGCUUGAUCUGUUCUUGAAGAAAACACCUUGGGCUGGCGACAAAGUGAUACCUUUCUGCGGGGCAUCGUCGCGGCAUUUCCAAAAGGUACCUGAAACAAAAUGCAAACGCACUCUACGACCUCUUCGUGAGAGAUUUUAGUCUUGUAAAAGAGGUAGCAUUGAAGCUUCGUUGUAACGAAAGUUUACUCAUGCGAUAAUGAAGCCAAAGAACGACACGAAGCAGAACUUUGGACAUUUAAUGUUGCCUAUCUUUGACAGUCGUGGAAUAUUCCUUGUCUUCAACGUUUGGACUCACUGGCCUUGAAGUUCAUCCAUUUUUCAUCGGUAGCUUUCGUGUGGAUCGGCGUCCAAAGAUUUCCGGUAGGAUUCAAACGUUCUUUACAGCGCGUUUAUUCUAAUUUCAAGGUGUUAGACGCAAUUUAUCUAACAAUUUUACCAUGUAGUGUUAUUUCCCCACAAGGUUGUGUUAGUGCUAUAUGCCCCUUUAGCUUUGUAGCCGUAGUUUGGCCUAUUCUCUCGCUCCAGAGCAAACUAUGAUAUCAAUUUCAACAUGUCACGAGUUGUAAAUCGGGUGCCCUGUCAUUAUAAUCAUUCACAAUUCUUCCUUUGAAAGCUUAUUUGGUUCCAGGUGUCGAUAGGUUUUUUUAUUGCAUCUUUUUUUACUUGUAAGUUUGACUAUUUCUGACGGACGAAGACGUAUGGAAACGUAUGCUAAAGUGGAUUUUGGGUGCACCCACCCAAAUUUGUGUGCUUAGAUGCUCGACAAAAUAAACCGAUUAUAGGCUAUUUUUCAUUUUCAAACCUCCAGGAUGCCUCUUCAUGGAAAAUUCAGUGUUAGGGAUGACUUUUCUCGAUUACUGUUCAGUGUUAAUGGAUCGCUACAGAAAUUGUUACAAGGAUGCUGCCGUUUGUGUUGUCUCGCGCGUUUAUCACUGUAUUUCGUAACGUUGCACGAGGUGAUUUUUAUUAACUUCACAAAUUUCCGCUCAGUAAUGAAAGCUGGAAUGCUUCAUUUUCAAUAAACGUAAGAACAAGUCUCUUGAAGCAGUGGCUCGUGGAGCAUAUAAGCGCCAAGGCAGUUUUUGCCAAAAUCCAAUAUGGCGCCCCUGUUAAUUAUGGGCCACGAGGCCAACUAUCAAUCAACGCAAUGGUUGUGGUAAAAAGACAUUGUCCUCGAGGUUAAGGAUGGUUUUCUAUCGUUUGCUUUCCCAGCACAAUCAAGGCAGUUCUUAUGUUUCAUCUAAAUGGUUUUAUGGUACACGAAGACGAUAUCUUUUAGACAGAAUCGAUAUAGGGUAUGAUAAUGGUAAAAUACUGCUUUUUAGUUUUCACUGGAUUUAUUUUAAAGCGGAUUUUCGGACUGUAAUCUUUUAUUUUUGGGUACUGUUCUGUUAAUUUAGAGUACAGUUUGCCUUUUUCGUUCUUUUUUGCUUUUAUUUACCGUUAAACAUUACGUGUCGGUCUGGUCGCCGGCUCUGGGAACAGAGACUAACCAUGUGGAAAUGGUCAGUUAUCGGAUGAUAGAUUAUGUCAGUAGUGCCAUUUCCUCCGCUCAAAAUAUUAAACGAUAAGCGAACCAAACAAUACAAAUGUUUCGUUUACGUUUAUCGGUUCCAGUCUGAUCAGUUUGCAUUGCACAUCUGUGGAGGUGGCAUUUUCUAGUGUUGCUGUAGAGAUCUAAAAAUUCGAGUUUCAAGUGUUCAAGUGGUUGAUUCCGGCUUUCAAUAACACCCAGCACUGCUGGGCUUAAUUUAUGCCCCAGAGCAACGAAAACAUUCCAAGCAAAGAGAUAUCUUUUAAGUUAGGAACACAGUCAACCGACGUGCUUCAUGUUAAUAUGUCAAUAACGUUGUUUCUAUAUAUUGCAUGAUUUCAAGACAUUUGGAACAAAGAUUCACCGUUGUUUCACCUGGCCAAGCCAGAUACUGGCACGAAAGGUAUCUUUAGUUUUAAGCCAAUUGAAAUAUUUCAGUGUAACUUCGAGAUGUUUGGCGUUUUUGUAUUAUGCCGAAGAAUUGAAUAUUAAAUUGCUGGGGUGAAAUAUGCAAAGAGUGGGAUUACAGCUUGACUAAUCCCAACUCGGAUAUCAGUUUUGAAAUGCAGUGUCACGAUUUUUGAGGGUCUUGAGGUGUGUCUGACUCGGAGUCCUACGAAGUGAAAGCAUGUUGAGGGUGUUAAAUCCUUGCUCAAUCAUUGCAUUUGCAAGACUUUGCCUCUCUCGUAAAAGUGUUACUAGAAAUAAAACUAUAAACUAAUGAUUGAAAAACGGUUGCAAUUGCCAAUUUUCCUUCAAAAACUCCAUAAACACGUGAUUUGAAAACUGCGAAUGUAAAACAGUGUAUUUUAGUGCUUGUUCUGAAACGUAUCAGUAUUCUCCAAGGUUUCUUUGGUCUGUUUUAACAAAAAGGCAAUUUUCUAUAAAUGAUGUCUUACUUAUUACCUUCAGCGCAGAAUGAUCCAUUUAUAUUCUAAAAUCCAUACCUGGUGAGCCCCGCUUCUCACUAGGCUUACCUUAAAACGUUUGUUUACUCUAUAGAAGAUGCAAAUAUCAUAAAAUAGGCCUUGUGGAUAUAUCACUUCUGAUUGUUUCAGAUUGUCUGGACAAGUGUGUCAUCGUGAACGUGGAAAGCCGAGUAUUGUGAGAAACACAUUUGUGAAGUAAGGUAGCAAGGCAGCGUUAAAAACACGAUAACAUUAUAAGAACUCGUAGGAAGACAGCGAUUGCUUAUAAGUAAAGAUGAGGUACAAAAGUCCAGUUUUAGCUCACCCUGUAGUGGCGUAUACUCCAGGCACGUUUCGUUUCUGCUACUUGUAUGUUCUUGCACGUUCAUCGAUGUAAGAAGUACAAGUGGUAGGGAGGGGGUGUCAACAAUUCAAGACGCCAUGCAUUAGUUUUGAACUGCCUUAGGUCUACGUUAAUUCAUUGCUGUAGGAUCCCUUAGACUUUUCGACCUUAGGCAAGAAUUUAACGUGUAUAUUGUUCAGAUUUUUACAGGAAUUUUCCUGUACAAAGCGGUUUUAGAUUAAAUGUAGCGAAACCUCAGGAUAAAUGGUCUCAAACAAUGGAGAGUAAAGGUAAACCAAAAAAGAAAAUAAAUAGAAAAGUACAGUUAGUUCAUUUUUAGCAAGACGGUAACAGAUAACAAAAAGCAGAGUAUGGAACGCGGUGUAUAGUGUACGAAAUGAUCUUUUUUGUUGUGGCAGUUAUAGAAUUUUUUCACUUGAGUGUCAAAGUUCAGACUGAACUCGCAGCUAGAGUAAGUGGGUGAUUGAAAAUCACUAAACGUAAUGAGAUUAGCCCCUCCUCCAACUAGAUCACCAAGUACACUAUAACGAGGAAUUUAGCUACAAGUUGCUGAUAGGUUACGUUAGUUGAAGAGCAUGCAAGCUCCCCUGAAGAAAACAAUAUAAAGUUCAAGGUAGCUACAAUUAGUUGUAUAGAGGCAGAUGGUGACAAAUAAUUGUCAUUUUAAACAUACUUGAUACUUUCAAUGCGGUGAUACAAAGAGCUCGAUUUGAAUUAUAACCAUAAGUUGCACUAGCGAAGGCAACUUCUAAGCUAAUGCUAAAUAAUUGUUUUUGGUUGGUCAGUUUUGCUCACAGCUGAACUGUAUACAGAUUAUUAAGGAAUGAUCAAGGAUUUAAGAGUGAAACGCUUGGAUUUAGUGUCAAGUACCCACCACGUGUAUUCGACGAGGUGCGAAAUCGUUUUAUGGUAUUGAGUAGAGAGAUGAUAAUCGUGAGAAUUAGAAAAAAACCUCGUUGGAAUUUAAAGAAUCCUUUUUAGAAAGUUGAAGUAAUCUGUGUCUAUUAAUAAAUGCUGUAAUAUUUAAUUGUGAAGACCACCAAAUAAACCCAUUUCUUGAGUCAUA